rnacentral:sRNA from 1 species
AAGAAGAAACAGAAAGGAGUUUUCCAUAUUUGUGCCCUAAAAGACAAUUCCCUGGCAAAAAAUGGGAUCCAAGAAAUGGAUUGUUGUUCUCUAGAAUCUGACUGGAUCUAUUUCCAUCCUGAUGCUUCUGGUAGAAUAAUACAUGUUGGUCCAAAUCAAGUCAAGUGAGUAAUCUCAUUAGCACUUGAAAGUUAAGAGCAGCUUUUGGUAGCAUUUAUUGGCAUCUUUAUUUUUGCCAGCGAACUAGUGAGCCAAUUAAUGGAAAUAAUUAGCUUGUUGUUGGGUGCUUCCUCAGAGACUGGCAUACAGAAAACCUGAAUUUAUUCUUUGAGACUCAACAUUACUGUUUGUAAAUAUUAAAUUUGAAAACGUUAUUUGAUGGAUGAUAUGCAAGUAAAAGGGAAUUACAGACUGGCCCUUUCUCAUCAGGUCUUAGUUAAUCCUAUAAGGUUAAUAAGAAAGAAGAGUAUUUGUCUUUGUUCUGAAAGGCAGCCUAGACACAGGAAAGGAAGUAGAUUGUUUGAAGUAAAUCUUGUUUUAUUUUGAUUGGUUUCAGGGCACACACAACUCCCA